CAACCGGGCAACAUCUGCUCCCGCUGGACCAAUCCGUGCAGGGCACAUCUGGGCGCCCACCUCCGCGGGCUGCAGCCGGGCGGUGAUGCGCUCCUCAGUGGCUGCAGGGACCCGCAGGAGCUGCCACCAGUGCCACCACUUCCAGCGGCAGCCAGCAGCUCGGAGCGGCUGGGGAAGGAAGAAGGACGGGAGCAGCUCUCCCUCCACAGCUGGGGAUCGCAAGGUGACGUUCUGCGGGGCUGUGCUGCCAGCAAUGCUUGCUGAGCCCGUGCGAGGAGAUCUCACCAGGACUGCUGGCAUCAUCCCAGAGAGACCCUUUGCAGACUGACUCCACAUCCUCAGAGCUGAUCUGACUGGGGCCUACCAAAUCCAUUAACGACGUCGAAAGUAGCCUACUUUAAGAGAAAAUAUGCAGAAGAAGAACAUCUACAUCAAGAUUACCAUGAGUACUGUCCAAAACACCUGAUACUCCCUGAGGACCGGACUUGUAUUCUAAAACUUUCUCUCCAGAAACUCCGAUUCCUGGAAGAUCCCGAAGCCUAUCUCCGUAGGUCGGUGUUAAUUAACAAUCUGUUGAGGAAGAUUCACCUAGAGACAGAGAGGGAGAGCUAUGAAUACUUUAAGGAGGCUCCGUGCUAUAGGACUGCUUACUCUGACUCACGAAAACGGCUGAAGUUUAUGGUACACGAGUGCUGUUCUCAGUCACUCUAUUAUGAAGAGCUGCAUUCGUAUCGCAUUGUGCCUUAUUCUGCAGAGAACGCCGUUUAUGGGAUGGGCUACACAAGCAGCCACCUGGAGCAAAAUUCUCAAUUGCUUAUUUAUAAAAUGAAUUAAAGUAGCUGUUAGACCCACCGAUGUUUGUUUCUGAAUGCUUGAACUGCUUGCUGAGGCGUUAGGAUGAGGCACUGAUUGCAGAGAUGCCCGUGGUGAGGUGGGAGCGGAGCUUGGACUCAGCAGCUUGGGGUGAGUUGGGUGCUUCGGGCACCGCUCCGCAGCCCCAUGUUAACCAAUUGGCCACGAAGCACCGUGCACACACAGGGCAGGUGUGAUGCUGAGGCCUCACACACAUGCAAUGUGUCGUGUGGAAGCAAAGCCACGUUGCUGUUCUCUGUGUGUAGAUACAAAUGCUGGGAAUCACUUUGUCGUUCAGUUGUGCCACCCUUAGCAGAAGGGGAGCCCCAGGUAGCGGAGCAGGCCGGCAGAGAGGAGCCAGGUGCCAGUUACUGACUGCAAAGGGACAGAUAGGAAGUUUCUCUGAGGAAAUGCUUUGUACAUGAAGGGGUCAGUGCCGAAGGAAUGGCCUUUGCUUAGGAUGCUCAGAGACUAACUCGCUUGCUACUUAAACUACUAUGAGAUUUGCAAGGUUAUUACUGUUAUUUUUAGAAUAAUUGCAUUCACCUUUUUAAUUACAUUAUCUCUUAGCUGGUAUUUACUUUGCUAUUCUAGUACAGAGCAGAAUGGCUCACAGGACAGAUUGUUUCUUUGUCCUGUUGCUGUGUUCCCUUAGCUUCAUUCGGGCUGUUUCCCCCAUACCUUCCUGCAUGCUGACCUGCUGUUUAGCAAGGGGUUCACACUGGUGCUAGGAAACAAUAGGUAAACAUUGAUUUUGACAUGGAAAGACAGAAAAGCAGUGGUAACUUCUCUGGAUAGAGAAUGAAUGUAUGUGACAGAUGCUAGUAGAAGUUCAGAGGUACUCCUGAUGAAGCUGCUCAGCAAUGGUAAUGGUGUUUCAGGUGAAGUGAAAUCAUAGAGCCACAGAAUGGCUUGGGUUGGAAGGGACCUCAAGGAUGGUUAUGUUUCAACCCCCGUCUUGGGCAGCACUGCCAGCUGCUAGGCUAAAUACUGGAUCAGAUUGCCCAGGGCCCCAUCUAACCAAAAUGUCUGAUUUUGACCUGGGAGUUAACCUUAGGUUAUGUAAAUAUGUAUCUUAUGAGCUGCGGAUUGACAUGAGAGCUGUUCAGCAAAACUGGUGAUUACAAGUGGGAGGUUUUAUAGCUGCCAAUGUACCAUGAAAAUACCAAAGAGUAAUAUAAGGGAAGAGAUGAUGCUCCAGCAAAAGCAAUGAUUGCACUAUAACCUGGGGAAAUGUGAUGAACGAGCUGUGAUGUAUCAGUGACUGAUUCCUAGGACUGCUGACCUAAUACACCAAUGGUCCAAACCUGUCCUACAGAGCUGCAGAAUUAUUGUGGGGGAGUCUGGCCUUGCCUGGCAGGCUGCCAGCCCUGCAUCUUUAGAGCAGAGCAAAUAGAAGAGCACUCUCAGCUGGAGGCAGGUUCAUGUUGAAGAACAGAAUUUGUUUUUAGUUUUGGAAGUCUUUUCUCAUGCAGAUGUGGCUGAUGCUAUUUCUGAAGUACAAAAAAUACCACUCCUUGACCAGGCUGUGCUCAGUGCAGGGCUAGAGGAGGAACCUCACAGCAUCUCAGCUGUGACACUGCAGCUGCUGCGCACAUGUUCACAGCACAAGACAAAGGAGGGGAGUAGGAGGUGCAAGGAGCAACAUGAACUCCUGCCCCAGCAGUACAGCUUUAGGGGACAGAAAGCAGCAGCAAGGUGCAGCUUACUAGUGCAAAACAACAGUUUAUUUGAAGAGAAGGAUAACCUGCAAAGUGGGGAGCAUGAGCAGCGCAGGUACUGUGGGAAGGCUGGGAAUGGGGCACUGCGGGCAGAGGCAGAGGUAGCGCCUGUGCCCAGGAGGCCACUGGGGGCACAGUGUGCCGUGUGGUUGUUCAGUCAGUGUGAUUCUUCUGCUAUAAACUGACCUGGUUUAUGCACUUGUUUUGCUCUUUUUGUCUGUUUUUGCCUGAACUCACAGCAGCGCAGGGGCUACACUGAAUGCUAGGGUGCUUUCCCCCUCCGAUCUGCUCUGUUACACUCAGAGGAUAGUCCUGGCCUGAAAAAUGAAAUUUCCUACAUCAAAUAAAAAUUGCUGCAUUGGCACAAAUGCUUGGUAGGAUUAAGGCCUUUAACCUUUAACCUUACCUUAGCAUUAUCCCACCAUCUCACAAAUGACAAAUUCCCUCCUCUGCUGAACAGGGCAGGCAUAUUCCUGCCUACUGUGAACUCCUCUGACAGAGCACUGCGUGCUCAGGAGGUAGCACAGGCAAGAACUGGGAUCAGACAACAAAACCACUUGGGUACCUGUGAAAGAAGGUAACACUUUACUCACGUUUUCUCCUCUUGAACAAAAAAAUGUUGUCUGAUUUUAUUAUUUCUUAAAUUUCUACUUGCUCCAGGAGAUGUUACAACUCCUUCCUUCUAGAAUGUUGGCUUUGAUUUGAAAUUGAGUUACAGGUCCUCAACUCUAAACAUUGCAUCUGCUCAACUUUUUGCUGCCUUAUGCUUCACACAGUGAUUUUUGCCAGUGAAAAGUGGAUCAACAUUCAACCAUUCAACCUUAGCGCUUGAUAGCCAUAACCUGCAGUGAUGAAGCAGUACAGAGGUGCAGUAGCAUCACAAGUUGCUCCAGAAAUGUUUGACACUUUUUGAACGACGUACCGCUUCUAUCACUUAUUUUCCAAGCUCCUGGGCACCAGCCCUUUAAUACAGCUUCAUGCAGUGAUUGUUCUGUUUUAGGGCUCAUAGCUGCAAUUCAGCUCUUCUGGCUCUGAUGUGUGAAUGUGUAGGUGGUCAGAUUUCGGCGAUAAGUAUAUAUAUACACAUAUAUAGAUGUUCCAUUAUGACUGCGGUAGGAACUCCCACACAUGGGCUAUGUUUGCACUGGAUGUAAGGAAGGUCCUUCCUUCCCUUUGAUUCUGUUGCCUUGGAGAUAGUGUUCAUGAGGCGAUGGUGGGUGGCACAGACAGACCUGCUCACAGGUAGCUGGUCAUUCCCAGUAGGGCUGGCUUAGGACAAUGCGUGGUCAUUUUGGAACAGCACAUGUGACUGUAAUUAGUGUUUAAAAGAGUUUAGCUCCCUCUGUGCCACUCUCUCGCUUGGCUAUGAGUGCUGGACUUGAGCUGGUGGCACUGAGCAGCAACAGGAGGCUCUGCAUGGAAUCAGCUUUGCAUUCUGACAUCUCCAAAAUGUAGGGCUCUGCUCCACUAUACACCUUUGUUAUGGCCUCUCUGUGCACAUCCGUGCGAGGCUCCUUAUGUGCUCCAUGCUCAGCAUGUGCAAUGUGGGGGCUGCCCUGUCCUAAUGUGCUCCUCCAUUGCUGAAUUACCAGAGAGAAGUGAGGGCAGAGCUGCUGCUUGACUACUGGAAUACAUUGAUAUUGCACUGUAAAUGGAACUGUUGUUUUUGAUGAAUGUGUUGAGUAUAUGGACUACGGUGCCUUAAAGUCCCAUCUUCAUACAGCCUUUGUACAUGCAAACCCGCAGCCCGCCUUUAGCCGACAGCCCCAUGCACGCCAUGCAGCUCUGGCCCUGUGCCCACAGGGCCUUGGGAAGCACCAGCCCCACUUCACACUUUGGCAAUUUCCUCUUCUCCUCUUUUCUAGACUGCUUUCCUCCCUUGGUCGGUCCCUGAAUUUCUCUUUUUCCAGUUUCUGCCAUCCCCGGGUUCUGCACUAGCCGCCCUGCCUUCACGUGAGCUCCAACCGUUGUACAAAAGCCGUCUCCAGCUUCUAAAUGCCAUAUUGUGCUCUCAGCAGGGAAUCACAACUGCAUAUAAUGACUGCGGCAGGUGCCGUCAAGUAUUUCAUCUGAUAUUUGACGCGCUUAACUCCGCAGAAAGGGGAACGCUCGCUUCUGCUGGAAUGCAUGAGCCUGCGCUGUGCUACAGGUGACUGUACACCAACUCACUGGGAUCACGCCUACUGAUUCUACGAUGGUAAAUGGCUUUUUAAUGUUUAAAAUUACUCGGGACCUGAUUGAAAGGUUUUUAUGAAAUCGUUUUCUAAAGUGAAUAGUAGAAAAAUGUAUAGGUAUUUUAAAUAUACAUAUAACGUGCAUGUUAUUAAUAAAGGUCUAUUUCUAUUGAAUCAGA